GCGGAUGGCCGGGCGGCCGCGGGCCUUUGGCUCGAGGAAAGUCCGGACUCCACGGAGCGACGGUGCCGGGUAACGCCCGGGCGGCGAGAGCCGACGGAAAGCGCCACAGAGAACAGUCUGCCCGCCUCAGGGCGGGUGAGGGUGAAACGGUGGGGUAAGAGCCCACCGCGGCCCCGGCGACGGGGACGGCACGGCAAGCCCCACCGGGAGCAAUGCCGAAUAGGAUCUCCGCGGGGCGUGCAAGCGCCCCGGGGCCGCUCCGGCCCCGAGAGAUCGGGUUGGCAGCUUGAGCCCGCCGGCAACGGCGGGCCGAGAGGAAUGGUCGCCCAGGGCCUUUGUCCGCUCGCGGUCGGGGGCCUGGACAGAAUCCGGCUUACAGGCCGUCCGCGCAU
rnacentral:RNase_P_RNA from 1 species